ensembl:lncRNA
GUGCAUGCUAGGGAUUGGAUGUCUAAACUCUGGAAUGGGUCCCUCAUCCUACCAUAACCGCUUAUUAUGCAUCCAUGAUCACAACCUGUAGGCUAUUCAAUAAGUCUGGAAAAUGCAUGCAAGUAAACAGUCUGUGCAUAUCACUACUCCAAAACCUGUAUGUAUUGUUCAGCAUUUAUGGUGCCUUCACAGAAGACCCAGUCACCCAUGCCAUGUGCACUAAUGCACCCCCAAACCAUCAGGGAUGCUGACUUGUGUACUGUCCACUGAUAACAAUUGUCACCCUAUUUGUCUGUGCAGUCUUUCACAGAGUGGUGAACCCCUCCCCAUCAACACUUUGAAAAGUUAGCAGCACCCACAGAAGUGUGUAAAAUCAAGUCUUUUGAUUGGCUCACAAGAGGCACAACAGGAGAUCAAGAUAAAGUGGAGAAAAUAUAUCUGAUCUUUACAACAACGGAUGAGGAGUUCUUACCUCAAAGUGGUCCUCAGCGAAGAUGAGACCAGCAGGACAGCAGAUCUCUGGGAGGACAACUGAAGAAGAUGGUCCGCAAACCUAACCAGCCUCUUGAGCAGGUGAUGCGCCGCCUUUCUGAGAAUGAACGCAGAGCAAUACAGGCCACCCAGGACGAGAAGUUUUCAUGUGAAAUGGCACACAGUAAUGGCCCUGUUCCAGCA